rnacentral:rRNA from 1 species
AUUGAACGCUGGCGGCAGGCUUAACACAUGCAAGUCGAGCGAGCGGCGGACGGGCGAGUAAUGUCUGGGCAACUGCCUGAUGGAGGGGGAUAACUACUGGAAACGGUAGCUAAUACCGCAUAACAUCAGAUGUGCCCAGAUGGGAUUAGCUAGUAGGUGGGGUAAUGGCUCACCAAGGCGACGAUCCCUAGCUGGUCUGAGAGGAUGACCAGCCACACUGGAACUGAGACACGGCCCAGACUCCUACGGGAGGCAGCAGUGGGGAAUAUUGCGCAAUGGGCGCAAGCCUGAUGCAGCAAUGCCGCGUGUGUGAAGAAGGCCUUCGGGUUGUAAAGCACUUUCAGCGGGGAGGCGUUACUCGCAGAAGAAGCACCGGCUAACUCCGUGCCAGCAGCCGCGGUAAUUC